UGGGAAGAGCUACUGCCUCCACAUCAGGCUAUGCCACGCCAAGAGCCAAUCUAGAUGAGACCAUCAAGAAGUCUGACUUAACCGCUCUCAUCAAGGCUCUCAAGGAAUCUGGAUAUUGAUUCUAGUAAGUUGCUUGGCAAAGGUGUUACCAAGGGAGACUUGUACUUACUUGAGGACACAAGACCUGUAUCUCAAUUAUCGUGUGUGUUUCAUUCUGUUUCUGAAUUCCCUAAAGAUGAAAUCUGGCAUGCUAGACUAGGACAUCCCCAUUCUCGUGCCUUGAACAUCCUGUUGCCUAGUAUUUCUUUUAAAAAUGAGUGUGAAGCGUGUAUAUUAGGAAAACAUUG